rnacentral:rRNA from 1 species
GAUGAACGCUGGCGGCGUGCCUAAUACAUGCAAGUCGAGCGAACAGACGAGGAGCUUGCUCCUUUGACGUUAGCGGCGGACGGGUGAGUAACACGUGGAUAACCUACCUAUAAGACUGGGAUAACUUCGGGAAACCGGAGCUAAUACCGGAUAACAUGUUGAACCGCAUGGUUCAACAGUGAAAGACGGUCUUGCUGUCACUUAUAGAUGGAUCCGCGCCGCAUUAGCUAGUUGGUAAGGUAACGGCUUACCAAGGCAACGAUGCGUAGCCGACCUGAGAGGGUGAUCGGCCACACUGGAACUGAGACACGGUCCAGACUCCUACGGGAGGCAGCAGUAGGGUAUCUUCCGCAAUGGGCGAAAGCCUGACGGAGCAACGCCGCGUGAGUGAAGAAGGUCUUCGGAUCGUAAAACUCUGUUAUUAGGGAAGAACAAAUGUGUAAGUAACUAUGCACGUCUUGACGGUACCUAAUCAGAAAGCCACGGCUAACUACGUG